GGCCGCUUAGCACAGUGGUAGUGCGUCUGACUACGAUUGAUUGCGUAAUCACCUAUCAGGAGGUCGCAGGUUCGAUACCUGCAGUGGUCG
rfam:Tilletia controversa strain DAOM 236426 scaffold_2154, whole genome shotgun sequence.